rnacentral:rRNA from 1 species
UACGUAGGUGACAAGCGUUAUCCGGAAUUACUGGGCGUAAAGCGCACGCAGGUGGUUGAACAAGUCUGACGUGAAAUAUCCCGGCUUAACUGGGAGGGGUCGUUGGAAACUGUUUGGCUUGAGGCAACGAGAGGGGUGUAGAAUUCCCGGUGUAGUGGUGGAAUGCGUAGAUAUCGGGAGGAAUACCAGUGGCGAAAGCGGCACCCUGGCGUUAGCCUGACGCUCAUGUGCGAAGGCGUGGGGAGCGAACGGGAUUAGAUACCCCGGUAGUCCACGCGGUAAACGAUGAGUACUAGGUGUGGGUGGAGUGAAAUCUGUCCGUGCCGAAGCAAACGCGUUAAGUACUCCGCCUGGGGAGUACGGCCGCAAGGCUAAA